rnacentral:tRNA from 1 species
GUGACGGUGGUUCAGUGGUAGAACUCUUGCCUUCCAUGCAGGAGACUCAGGUUCGAUUCCCAGCCAAUGUA